UGCAACAAUUAAAGCAUCGGGGUGUUAUCAGCACUCUUCUCAUCCUAAGCCAAAACACAGCAUUCCACCAGCUACUAGGAAGAAAAUUAAUUCUGUUCUAACUGAAACCAGGACACCAUGUUUUCUCACAGUAUGCGGAACUGCAGAUUUAUAACUUCCUUAAAUGUGCAGCUAAAACUUUUCGAAUAACAGGAAAUGAAUAGUAGAAGAAGGCCUGCUGUAAAAGUAAAUUUUCCAGAACUUCAGCUGAAAGUGGCUAACUGGGGAGCAACAGUAGCUGAAACACGUUGAAAUGAGUGCCGCAGUCAUGAUGAUGGCAAUCAGCAACCAUCCUACCAUCUUGGAAAAGAAAUAGUGUGAGAGAUAAGGGCUCUUGCAGUCCCCUGCAGGCACCAGUGUGUGUGAAGAGAGUGGGGCUGAGGUCCAUCAGUGAAGAACACAGCAGAGAAGCUUUAACUAGGACUAGGGUACAUCAGGGAAGAGCAUAGCAGAGGGGCUUUACCUGGGACUGGGCUUGAAGGCUGUGAAAUGCACCUAUCUUCUUGGACAACUCCUCGUCACAGGGUAUUUUCUCCAGCGAUGCGUUGCAGUACUCUUUGAUGUCCUUGCACACCAGCUUUCUGAUGAAGCUGUUCCCACUUGCUGCACAUGCAUAGAAGCUGGCACUGAGCAGGGCCACCGCGAUCCAGGUGAAGGGGGCCACCAAGGCACUGGCUGUCACUGGCACCAGCACUUUGUGAAAGUGUCCA